GAAGUCGGAAUUGCUAGUAAUGGCAGGUCAGCAUACUGCCGUGAAUACGUUCCCGGGCCUUGUACACACCGCCCGUCACACCAUGAGAGUUGGGAAUACCCGAAGCCUGUGAGCUAACUUUUAGAGGCAGCAGUCGAAGGUAGAAUCAAUGAUUGGGGUGAAGUCGUAACAAGGUAGC
rnacentral:rRNA from 1 species